rnacentral:rRNA from 1 species
AUGCAAGUCGUGCGAGAAAGUAUCUUCGGAUAUGAGUAGAGCGGCGAACGGGUGAGUAACGCGUAGGAAUGUACCUAGUAGAAGGGGAUAGCCCGAGGAAACUCGGAUUAAUACCGUAUACCUCCUUCGGGAGAAAGAAGGCCUCUCUUUGAAGCUUUCGCUACUAGAUCAGCCUGCGUAAGAUUAGCUUGUUGGUGAGGUAAUGGCUCACCAAGGCUACGAUCUUUAGCUGGUCUGAGAGGACGAUCAGCCACAUUGGGACUGAGACACGGCCCAGACUCCUACGGGAGGCAGCAGUGGGGAAUAUUGGACAAUGGGCGCAAGCCUGAUCCAGCCAUACCGCGUGUGUGAAGAAGGCCUUCGGGUUGUAAAGCACUUUAAGCAGGGAGAAAAAAAUAUAGGUUAAUACCCUAUGUUCUUGAUGUUACCUGCAGAAUAAGCACCGGCUAAUUCCGUGCCAGCAGCCGCGGUAAUACGGAAGGUGCAAGCGUUAAUCGGAAUUACUGGGCGUAAAGCGCGCGUAGGUGGUUUGUUAAGUUGGAUGUGAAAGCCCUGGGCUCAACCUAGGAACUGCAUCCAAAACUGACUGACUAGAGUACGAUAGAGGGAGGUAGAAUUCAUAGUGUAGCGGUGGAAUGCGUAGAUAUUAUGAAGAAUACCAGUGGCGAAGGCGGCCUCCUGGAUCUGUACUGACACUGAGGUGCGAAAGCGUGGGUAGCGAACAGGAUUAGAUACCCUGGUAGUCCACGCCGUAAACGAUGACAACUAGCUGUUGGGAGGCAAUGCCUUUCAGUGGCGCAGCUAACGUUUUAAGUUGUCCGCCUGGGGAGUACGGCCGCAAGGCUAAAACUCAAAUGAAUUGACGGGGACCCGCACAAGCGGUGGAGCAUGUGGUUUAAUUCGAUGCAACGCGAAAAACCUUACCU